UACGGAGGAUCCAAGCGUUAUCCGGAUUCAUUGGGUUUAAAGGGUGCGUAGGCGGAAUGAUAAGUCAGUGGUGAAAUCCUUCAGCUUAACUGGAGAACUGCCAUUGAUACUGUCAAUCUUGAGUACAUUUGAUGUGGGCGGAAUGUGUCAUGUAGCGGUGAAAAUGCUUAGAUAUGACACAGAACACCGAUUGCGAAGGCAGCUCACAAAACUGUAACUGACGCUGAGGCACGAAAGCGUGGGUAGUCAAACAGG
rnacentral:rRNA from 1 species